UUUAAUUACCCCACGUUUAUUUUUGUCCAUUUUUCUCUUUCUUCCAACUUUAUUCUCUCGUUGUAUUCUGGGUGGAAUUGGCACCAGCAUUGAAGAAUUGUGUUUCUCCAUGUUUGACAAGAUUCUCAAAGUGACAGAGACCACCUAGUAUUGUCUCUACAAACUCUGUCCACUUGGUGGCAUUGCAACACCAUCUUUGUUUAUUGUUUUGACACAUUAGUACGUACUCAUAUCCUUUAUUUUAUUGUUUUUGGUGGGAAAUUUGCUAAGUACUANN
rnacentral:lncRNA from 1 species